GUGGAAUUAUUUUGUUCUUUUUGAAUGGCUGAGUACUAUUCCAUAGUAACAUAUAUGUACCACAUCUUCUUUAUCCAUUCAUCUGUUGAUGGACAUUUGGUGGUUUCCAUGUCUUGGCUAUCUUGAGCAGUGCUAACAUAGGGGUGCAUUAUCUUUUUGAAUUAUAGUUUUGUCUGGGGAGAUAGAGUACUCUUAUUACCCAGUCUAGGUCACUGCUCAGGUCUUGGGACAAGGCAGCAUCAUACUGACAGCCCAUUGGGAUGGGACCACAAGCUAUAGGAAUGGGAAGAAAGGAAGGAUUGCUGGACAGACAAUAGGUGUACUUGAAGCUAUUCUUGAGAUUUAAAAAAAAAAAAAAGUCUUCACAUUUAACACUGCACCUAAAGUUUUGAAACUGAAAUUAAACAUGAAUUAUGGACAGAGUUUUUCAAAUUAUCUAGAAAUGCUAUGUCCUAAAAUUAGAAGAGAUGAAAUAAUCAGAACUGAAUAAAAGUUGAGUCAGGUAGGGUGCUUUUUUCCAUCUAACUCAUGUUUUUCCUAUAAACUCGUUACUCAAAGAGCUAUGCAUUAGUAAACACAAAUUAUGAAAUAUAAAAUGGCCAGUACUUUGGAGGAAGAUUUAAAUAAUUGUGAAUUAGUUCUCUCUAAUGGCAGAAUCAAUGAUUCAUUUCUCUUUCCACACUUGUCUACAUGUAAUGUAACCUGUUAGAUAUUGGACAUGAAGAGAUUAUUAAACCUUACUGACAUUAGUCAUUAGACUGGGUUCCCCGGAACAGACUCGGAUGGCUGGUUACAUGCAGAAGGAUUGUAAGAGGGAGGCAGGAAGGCAGGACUAGGCAGACCCACCGCGUGACUGCCACUGAACUCUCGGCCUAUUCUAUCGGAAUUCUGAGGGGCCUUCAAAUGUCUCCCAAAUGGAGACAAGGGGGCCACGCCUUUGCACACCUAUGAUGGCCAAUGAUCGGAUGGGGGCUGAUGGGGUGGAGAGGCUGGACAUAAACUUGGUCACUCCGCUGAGGGCGAUUCCCGGAAUGGCCGCUAUGAAGCAUGCGCAGGCGAUUCCCGGAAUGGCCGCUGUGAAGCAUGCGCAGACCACACUGCCCGGAGCUGGCGGGAGCCACUGGUUCAGUCUCGCGGGACCCGGCACCAAGUGACGCUGCACAGCCUCCGUGACUGAAUGACAUUUAGUAGCUCCACACAAGGGUCAGAUAUAUUUUCAUUUUGGACUCCAGGCAGAAACAGUCUCUUUGGCCAGAGACCCUUUGAAACGUUCCUCAUAGUCGACAACAAAUGAGAACAAAGCAGUCAGGCGGAAUAAUGCUAAUUGUGCCUGGAGAAGGCAGUUACUCAAAAGAAGCAACAAGAUCUGAAACAGCGGGCGUUACACGGUCACUCUCAGGGUUAGGAAGCAAAGACCCACCUGUGUAGGACCUGGAAGAAAGAUUAAAAUAUGGUAGACAAAAUCUUGACAGAACAGCUGGACGCAAACAAGAGGUCUCGGAGACCAGAAAGAGCUCCGGCAUCCAGACUGCUUCAUGGCGUUCGCUUGUAUCUUGGUGAUGUUUCCCCAGGAGCCUCACCUGUAAUGCCGGUGACAGGGGUACAGAAGCUGCUCCAGAUGGGAUGACCAAACUGAGCUUCACUGGGUGACCUGAGAUCAAAACGAGAGGGAGCCUAUAUCUGAUGAAGAGUCACUCAUAAAUGGAUUCAAUUCCUGGUUCCGAUUCUGAUGUAUGACCUUAAAGAAAUCAACACCUCUCUACUUCAAUUUCCUCUUUGUGGAGCCAGGAUAAUGGUAGCACUAGCCUUCCAGAAAUGUUGUCAACCUUUAAAUGAGACACGUGGCCUUCAUACCUAUCAGCGAGGUGUUUGUGAGACGCGUGUUCUGAGAUGAUCUGUGUACACUGCUCAGCACAAAGGCUGCUCAGAGCAAGCCAGUGAUUGUGAAAAAGGUAGUUGUGAUAGCAUCACAACAGAAGCUAAUUCUUCAGGCCUUCUAUGCUAUAAUGCUUUCCAAGACUUAACUGUUUCAGUAAAAGUAGUAAAUUAGUUUUGUUUAUUUAUUUUAGUAAAUUAGUUUUAAUAAAAAAUUUAAUUUUGUGUAUUGCCCAGAAAGAAGGAAGAAUGCAAUGAUAAGAAUGGAAAACCUACAUUGGUUAUUAAAAUGGUUAUUUAUUACCAGUAUCGUUGAACUAUCUGCUUUGCUUAUCUAAUUCUGUGUAACA